CUUUGCGCCGCCCGCGCCUGUCUCUCGCCCUUCUAGCGCCCCUCUCUUUUUCUCCUGUCGGGCAGAGGAAGGGGAAGCGGCUACUCGAGGCUCUAUCUGGCCACGUCCUCACCGGCGCCGCGGAGGAAGCGACGUCUCAACCACUCUCCAGAAUAGCGUCCUGCACACCACUAGUCUCACAACCCGGCGCCUGGAGACUUGAAAGCUGCCUGUUUUUGCCCUCUGGUUCUUCUCCUUUAAUCGUGACGGAGUUAGGCGAGAGGCCACUCAAGGCACACCAUAAGUCCGCUGGAUUAUGGGGUGGGACUUGAAACUUGGGUCACCAAAGAAAACCAGGGUCAACUCUUCUGGAAGAUUUAAAACUUGAUCCUGGACCGCUUUCUGACUCCCCUUUCCCGAGCCCUCCUGACGUCAUGGCACGUUCUGGCCUUCUCAGCGAGAACUGGACUACGUGUCCCGGCAUACAUUGCGUGCUGCCCUUGGGUGCGAGGCAUGCUGGGAUUCGUAGUCUUCGGAGGCAUGGGUUUCCUGUGCCUUGGACUGUGCCGGAGUGCGCGCGAGGCCCUGAGGGGCGGGGUUUCUCUACCCUGGAAGGUCAUCCUCGCAGGUUGAUCACAGCUUUACUCCCACGGAUCAAGCGUCUUUUAAUUUCAUGGCUGCAAUUACCAUCAGCAGUGAUUUUGGAGCCCCCCCAAAAUAAAGUCUGUCAGUUUCCAUUGUAUCCCCAUCUAUUUUUGCCAUGAAGUGAUGGGACCGGAUGCCAUGAUCUUCAUGUUUUGAAUGUUGAGUUUUAAGCCAGCUUUUUCACUCUCC
ensembl:lncRNA